rnacentral:rRNA from 1 species
GUGCCAGCAGCCGCGGUAAUACGUAGGGUCCAAGCGWWAAUCGGAAUUACUGGGCGUAAAGCGUGCGCWGGCGGUUGCGCAAGACCGAUGUGAAAUCCCCGAGCUUAACUUGGGAAUUGCAUUGGUGACUGCACGGCUAGAGUGUGUCAGAGGGGGGUAGAAUUCCACGUGUAGCAGUGAAAUGCGUAGAGAUGUGGAGGAAUACSGAUGGCGAAGGCAGCCCCCUGGGAUAACACUGACGCUCAUGCACGAAAGCGUGGGGAGCAAACAGGAUUAGAUACCCUGGUAGUCCACGCCCUAAACGAUGUCAACUAGUUGUUGGGGAUUCAUUUCCUUAGUAACGUAGCUAACGCGUGAAGUUGACCGCCUGGGGAGUACGGUCGCAAGAUUAAAACUCAAAGGAWUUUUAYKGGGACCCGCACAAGCGGUGGAUGAUGUGGAUUAAUUCGAUGCAACGCGAAAAACCUUACCUACCCUUGACAUGCC